AUGUCAUAUUAUACAAUUGCAGGAAGACAAAAGCAGAAUCCAAGAGUCUGAUGUCAUCAUAACCAUCAAAUGAAACGAAAAUUAGUGAGUGCCACAUGGACGCGAGGGGACAUCAUUCAGUUGGCAAACUCAAGGAGAGAUCUAGCAUCACUGAAUCAGUCAUCUGAGCUGAAUUGUCAUGUACUCAUGUGGCAACAAUACAUUCAGCAGCCUUUUUUUUACAGAUUUAAUUAG
rnacentral:rRNA from 1 species